GCGGGGAUAGUUCAGUUGGGAGAACGUCAGACUGAAGUCACACUUCAAUCUUGAAAUCUGAAGGUCGUGCGUUCGAUCCGCACUCACCGCA